rnacentral:lncRNA from 1 species
UGAAUACAUUUCCUGUCCUAUAUAUACUUUACUUCUGUGGCGUUACCUCUUACUUGAUUCUUGCUAGAACUAGGUACCCAAAGUUUUCAGCAUCCUAACUUUUUUCCUUUUUUAAAAAAUUGGAUAUUUUAUUUAUUUGCAUUUCAAAUGUUAUCACCUUUCCCCGUUUCCCCUCUGCAAACUCCCUAUUCUAUCCCCCCUUUACCCUGCUUCUAGGAGGGUGCUACCCCACCCACCUAUCCACUCCCGCCUCCCCACCCUAGCAUUCCUCUACACUGGGGCAUCAAGCCUUCACAGGACCAAGGGCCUACCUCCCGUUGAUGUCCAACAAGGCAAGGCCAUCCUCUGCUACAUAUGCAGCUGGAGCCCCUUCAGCUCCUUCAGUCUUCCUGUAACUCCUCCAUUGGGGUCCCUGCAGCAUCCUAACUUUUAAUUCCUGCCUUUGAAACUUUAUACUCCUGAGUCCCAUGUCAUGAAUUCACAUAGGUGGAACUCUGACAGUUGGUUCACAAAAGCAAGAGAAGAUUCUUGUUCUUAUAGCUAACAAGAUUAUGUUGUAUAUAGUAUUUGAAGGAACUUAUAAAACUGGAAAGGUAAGAUACUUAAAAAGAAAAUAAAUCCCUAAGUCCUAGGAGAGAAAGCUAUUGGUCACGUACCCCUUUAUCUUUACCUUUCUAAUUGAUUAGCUCAGCAUCCACAUUCCACUUGAUUUGUCCUUAAAACUUCACAAAAUGAUGCAAAGGUUUGCUUGAAAAACAUACCUUCAAGAAUAUUUUAGAAAAGAAAAAUGAGAAAGGAACAGUUCUGUCCAAUAUUAAAGCUUAUUUACAACAGUGAUAAUUUGGAAAAAUAAUCUAAGUAAAAAUACUAAAAUAUAUAUUAAAUUUCAUUAUAUCUGUCACAAAUAUUGAGUACCUGCUAUUCUGUAUGCUAAAGCCAGUAAGUACAACAAUGGGAAAUGGAAAUAAUGGUUUCACAAGUUAUUUUUAAAUAUCUGAAAAACCAUUAGUCUAGAUUCUUAAUCUUACAUGAUAACAGAGUUCAUCCUAUCUAAAUUUCAUAAUCAUUUAACAUAAAAAAUCAGGAGAAAGCUUUCAAAUUUUAACAAGCAAGUUGACAAUAAAAACUGUUAGGAACUGCAGAGAGGACUCAGUGGUUAAGAUUAGUAGCUACCCUUGCCUGCCGAGGAUCCGGGCUCUUUUCCCACCACCGGCAUGGUGGCUCACAAGGAGUUUAACUCCAGUCUGAGGAGAUCUGAUACUCUUUCUAGUCUCCUCAGAUAUCAGGCAUGCAUGUGGUACCCGGACAGAUAUACAAAAUUUUGCUGUGCGCUUAAAUAUCCUAAAUAUUUUUAAUUAACCUUUUAUAUAAUGCAAAAUAGUUUGAAUGGGGAAUAGAAAAAAUUAGGCCUCAAAUAUUGUAUUAAUGUAUGAAGUUGAGGUACUGGGGUGAUGGAUUAGUUUGUAAACACUUACUGGGAAAAUGUAAGGACCCAAGUUGGGAUCCCAGCACCUACACAAAAGCCCAGUAUGACCACCUGCAUGCCUGUAACCUCAGCAGUUCGUGGCAGAGAAUGGAGACUAUGUGGAGUUCAGUAGCUAUAGGUUCAGUGAGAGUUCCCAUUUGAAAGUAAUAAGGCAGAGAGUGGUAGAGCAGGACACCUGAAAUCCUCCUCUGGCCUACAGAUAUGCAUAGGCACACACAGCACACAUACAUAUAUCAUAGAUACACGCUCUUACACAGAAAAGUACAUAUACAGUUGUCUAAGGUGCUCCUACUUGCUAAAUCUGGGAUAGUUUGACUACUACAAUAAUACUAGUAAUAGUUAAAGAUAAUCUGUAGUUAAUCCAUAAAUUAAUGAAGAAAGGAAAUCUCUUGUAGUACAAUUGCAAUUAGUCCAUGUAAAACUAAUGGCAAAGGUAGUUGAUAAGGCAUACUAUUACAGCCUAAGUAGAGAACUUUGAGUAAAAGUUGCUGAAGAAGAUAAAUCUUUUAAGGAGGGGCUGGAGAGCGCGGGUUCAGUGGUUAAACAUGCUGUCUGCUCUUCCAGAGGACCCAGGUUCAAUUCCCAGCACCUAACAUGGUGGCUCCCAACCAUCUGUAAAUCCAGUCCCAGACGGUCUGCUGCCCUCUUCUGACCUUUGUGGGCACUAAACUCAUGCAAGUGAUGCAGAGACAUACAAGCAGACAGAAGACCCAAACACAUUAAAAAACAAUAAAAUACUAUUUUUUAAAUUUUUGAGGAAAUGAUUUAGUGGCCUAAAAUGGAAAUGCACAUUAAAUAAUAUGCAUAUGUAUAUGCAUACCAAAUAAUAAUGAGUUAUUUCAUAUGAUAGCAGCAUCAUUAGAAAGCAGUUUUGCAAUAAGUACAGUUAUUACCGCUGCUGAAUUAACCUGAGGAAAUAGCAUCACAAAAUGAGUUCCUGUAUUGAAAAUUCACAGAAACGUUUAUAGUUAUAGAUAUUGAAAAGUGAAUGUUUGGGAAAUAGACAUGUCAUGUUUGAUAGAAGGUAUGAUUAGAAUAAAUGGUGCUGAGCACUUGCUGCUCUUCCGAGAAGCUGGAUUCAUUUCCUAGGAUCCCCAAGACAGCUCAGCUGUCUGUAACUCGAGUUCCGAGGGAUUCCACUGCCCUCUUCUGGCCUCCGUAAGAACUGCAUGAACGUAGGACAUGGCCAUGCAGGCAAACCACUCAUACACAUAAAAUGUUUUUCAGUUCUUUGUAUGUAAGCAACUUUUCCUCUCCAGAAGUCCAUAGGUAAAAUCUUCUUUAUCCUUGUGUCUCGAAAUUUAUGGAGUAUCUUUCUAUGUGUAGUGUGAAAUUUCAUCAUACCGUAUGUGGGGUGUUUCCUUUGAAACUAGGAACUCAUAUAUUCUAGUUUUGUGGAAGUUUUUUUGUUAUGUAUUCUUUCUUUUGUAACACAUAGUCUUUGUGUAUGUUGUGCUUCCUGGAUGGUUUCCUUUUUUUGUGAUACUUAUUCCUUUUAUUUCUCAUAUACCAGAUCAUAAUAUAAACCCUUAAUUCUAUAUUCAUUACAAUGGUUCUCUUCAUUGUACUCUGAUGUUUUAAUAUACUUCAUUCAUGAUCAUUAUGAGCAAUAAAAAGCAAUAAUUACAUUAUUUC